GCAAGUCGCGGGGUAAGGCUCUUUCUGGGAGCACACGACCGGCGCACGGGUGCGUAACGCGUAUGCAACCUACCUAUAACAAGGGGAUAGCCCGGGGAAACCCGGAUUAAUACCCUAUAAAGCAGGGGUACUGCAUGGUACUAUUUGCUAAAGUUGAGGCGGUUAUAGAUGGGCAUGCGUUAGAUUAGCUAGUUGGUAAGGUAACGGCUUACCAAGGCGACGAUCUAUAGGGGUUCUGAGAGGAAGGUCCCCCACACUGGCACUGAGAUACGGGCCAGACUCCUACGGGAGGCAGCAGUAAGGAAUAUUGGUCAAUGGGCGAGAGCCUUGAACCAGCCAUGCCGCGUGCAGGAAGACGGCCUUCUGGGUUGUAAACUGCUUUUAUACGGGAAGAAAAAGGUCUUGCGAGGCUACUUGCCGGUACCGUAUGAAUAAGCACCGGCUAACUCCGUGCCAGCAGCCGCGGUAAUACGGAGGGUGCAAGCGUUGUCCGGAUUUAUUGGGUUUAAAGGGUGUGUAGGCGGAAGUUUAAGUCAGUGGUGAAAGUCUUGAGCUUAACUGAAGAAGUGCCAUUGAAACUGGAUUACUAGAGUAUAGUCGAGGGUAGGCGGAAUUUAUGGUGUAGCGGUGAAAAUGCAUUAGAUACCAUAAAGAACACCGAUAGCGAAGGCAGUUUAUUAAGGCUAUAACCUGACGCUGAGGCCACGAAAGCAUGGGUAUCGAACAGGAUUAGAUACCCUGGUAAGUCCAUGCUGUAAACGAUGCUCAACUAGCUGUUGGGGAUAUAAGUUCAGCGGGUUAGCGAAAGCGAUAAGUGAGCCACCUGGGGAGUACGUCCGCAGGGUUGAAACUCAAAGGGAAUUGACG
rnacentral:rRNA from 1 species